rnacentral:rRNA from 1 species
CCUACGGGUGGCAGCAGUGAGGAAUAUUGGUCAAUGGACGAGAGUCUGAACCAGCCAAGUAGCGUGAAGGAUGACUGCCCUAUGGGUUGUAAACUUCUUUUAUAUGGGAAUAAAAUGUUCCACGUGUGGGUUUUUGUAUGUACCAUAUGAAUAAGGAUCGGCUAACUCCGUGCCAGCAGCCGCGGUAAUACGGAGGAUCCGAGCGUUAUCCGGAUUUAUUGGGUUUAAAGGGAGCGUAGGUGGUUUGUUAAGUUAGUUGUGAAAGUUUGCGGCUCAACCGUAAAAUUGCAGUUGAAACUGGCAGUCUUGAGUACAGUAGAGGUGGGCGGAAUGCGUGGUGUAGCGGUGAAAUGCUUAGAUAUCACGAAGAACUCCGAUUGCGAAGGCAGCUCACUGGACUGCAACUGACACUGAGGCUCGAAAGUGUGGGUAUCAAACAGGAUUAGAUACCCUUGUAGUC